UACGGGGGGAGCAAGCGUUGUUCGGAUUUACUGGGCGUAAAGGGCGCGUAGGCGGCCACCGCAAGUCGACUGUGAAAUCUCCGGGCUUACCCGGAAAGGUCAGCCGAUACUGCGGGGCUAGAGUGCAGAAGGGGCAACUGGAAUUCUCGGUGUAGCGGUGAAAUGCGUAGAUAUCGAGAGGAACACCUGCGGCGAAGGCGGGUUGCUGGGCUGACACUGACGCUGAUGCGCGAAAGCGUGGGGAGCGAACAGG
rnacentral:rRNA from 1 species